UGUAAGGACCUGCUCGGAAACGGGGUGGGGAGAAGAGGACCAGGGAAGAGUGACCCGACACAUGGACUACCUGUCGCUACCCGUCGACGAUGACGCUUAUGGUGAUACUUCGGACUCGACUGAUGUAAAUUAGCGCACUUCGCAGACCCCUACCCGGACGCACCAGGACAACCUCCCAAGCCGACGCGUGGCCGCAGACGUGCCCUCACGGCGCUGGUGACAGGGACAGGCUGGGUCCUGCCGAACGCAGCCUUGGGCUCUGCUGGCCGCGCCCGAGUCUUCGGCCGGUCAAACAGGGCUGCCCCAAUGGCACCGGCGCAAAGCCGGUAACUAACCACAGCUAGCGUGUCUGGGAGCUUCGGUUCCUUUAGUGUGGCUAAAGGUGAGUUCAACAGGUCUCUCUGGCUACUGUGGAGAAAGCCCCUCCGAACUCUGAGCAAAGUGGGCACCUCGUCCCGGCCGACGAUGGGCCAGGGCACUGAGAGGACGGCUCCCGGGUCCAGGCCACGGCGUCCCCAGAGGGUCGGAUCGGGAGGAAUGGCUGGAACUACCUGCCUCCCACUGCCCCCACUCAUCUUCCCUCAGUCUGACUGCUGACCACCAGGUGACAACGCGGCAGCGUGUUCGGGGGCCACCGCAGAAACGCCUCUGGGAACAGAUGGGUUCCUGGCACCUCCUCCGGCCAUCCCUUCGAAUGGUCUGACAAGCCAGGGAACGGCCAUGUUGGAAGCGUGGCGGACCUGACCUCUGGGCUGAGGUCCUUCAGGAGCCGGAUGAGGCGGGACUCCCAGGGGUGGCUUCGGUCGAGGGCUGUGGGCGUGCCACUCGGGGACCCUGGGCCCGCCACAUAUUCAUUGUAGGGCUUCGUGAAUGUCCCUCAGCCUCUCCGAGGCACCCACCUCUUCCCACGUGUCAGAGGAAGAACCUUCGUAGUUCAGAGGCACUCAGACCGGCACCAGGAGCCCGUGCUGCCUCGGCCCCUGGCUGCUCAGGAAGGUGCUUUAGGUGGGCGAGUGUGACACGUGUGGCCUGGCGCCCGCUCCUUACGCCCUACACUGCAGACUGAAUUUUCAGACACGUGGAGACUCCCAGCUGUCACGUCUGUGUGAAGCCUGGUCCUUCAGUCCAGGAAGAAAAACGUCCACGCUGAGACAGUCUUCCUCCUGCCCAGACUGCGAUACUCCCCACCUCGGUCCCAGCAGGACCAAACGCUCCUGGAAGUCGGAGGAAGGGUGAGUUCUGAUGCCACUGGAGGUGCACAGGCGAGAAUCUCACAGGUGAGAAGCGCACAGGUGAGAAGUGGACAGGUGAGAAUCUCAGGUGAGAAUGGACAGGUGAGAAGUGGACAGGUAAGAAGCUCACAAGUGAGAAUUGCACAGGUGAGAAGCGCACAGGUGAGUAGCUCACAGGUGAGAAGCGCACAGGUAAGAAGGGUGCACAGGCAAGAAGCUCACAGGUGAGAAGUGCGCAGGUGAGAAGUUCACAGGUGAGACACUCACAGGUGAGACGUGCACAGGUAAGAAGGGUGCACAAGUGGGAAGCUCACAGGUGAGAAACUCACAGGUGAGAAGUGCACAGGUGAGAAGGGUGCACAGGUGGGAAGCUCACAGGUGAGAAGGGUGCACAGGUGAGAAGGGUACACAGGUGGGAAGCUCAUAGGUGAGAAGUGCACAGGUGAGAAGCUCACAGGUGAGAAGCAGACAGGUGAGAAGCUCACAGGUGAGAAGUGCACAGGUGAGAAGUGCACAGGUGAGAAGCUCACAGGUGAGAAGUGCACAGGUAAGAAGGGUGCAUAGGUGGGAAGCUCACAGGUGAGUAUUGCACAGGUGAGAAGCACACAGGUGAGACGCUCACAGGUGAGAAGUGCACAGGUGAGAAGCGCUCUGUGGUUGCCAGGACCCAGAGCAGACAGUCCACGAGGAGAACACUGCCCUUCCCUGCCACACGGUUGGCAUUUUCUAUUUUGGUCCAUGAUUAAGCUAUAAUUAUUCUCUGUGGAGCUGAGAAAUCAUAGCAGGAGAUUACAUUGCUUGAAGAAUGAAUUCUUUCCUGAACACGGAAAAUUGGAAAAAGCACAGAUCCGAGAGUCCCUUCCCAUUUCCUGAGGCACACCGAGAGGUCUGCAAUCAGCCCCCUUUCUGAUAGUUUCCACAGCUCGGCUCCUGGGCGGCCCUAGUUUUCCGCCCGCAGCGGGGCAGGAAGAGCCGACACCCGCGCCCUCCCCGGGCCCGUGGGCUCCUAUCGCCUGGUUUCCGACCCGACCGCAGGGUCGGGCAGGUGGGAACUCCCCCCACAGCCUGUGUUCCCCUUUCAUGCCAACGUUCUCCCGAUGCGUCAUCGCUGAUCCUCCCAGCCGAUGCAAUGUCGCCUGGUCCUCAAGACGACGGGAAACAGCCCCACAUGCCUCACCGGCCACAGGCUCACCAGCACCCGCACUGUAGUGUCCACCUCAACUUGUUCUGUGACCAUGCGUGCGGGCACCACGACCCUGUCCUCACCUCGUCCCAAAGCGACAUUUUUCCCAGACAGUGACGCUUCUCGGCCAGCGCCGUGCUGCCCUGCCACCCCCACCUCACCUGGCAUGGGAGGGACAUGCUCCCACUGCCAGCAACGAGAGGACACGUGUGAGUGUCUGGCACAGCCCGAGUCCAUCCCCAGGGCAGCUCGGUCUCGUCCGGAUGCCACCACGCCACAUCAGGUCCCAGCCUCCACGCUCGCCUGUGUCUAACCUCCUCAGAACCUCUGCCCCCUACAGGGGUCAGGUGAGGCUGCAAAGUCCCCAGCAGUGACACGGCUCUCAGGCUGGAGUGUAUGACAUGGCCCUCCAGCCCUCCGAACCCGCAGCCUGUCCCAUUCACAAGCACACCUGCUACACUUGGGCCUCACCGGCCGCCGCACGCCAGGUAGGGGAGGCGAAGU